rnacentral:piRNA from 1 species
UGGGCUCCAAUUUCCUGUAGGACGAGUGC